UUACUACUCCCUCCGUCCCAAAAUUCUUGUCUUAGAUUUGUCUACAUACUGAUGUAUCUAUUCACAUCCCAAAAUUCUUGUCUUAGAUUUAUCUACAUACAGAUGUAUCUAUUCACAUUUUUGUGAAUAGAUACAUCCAUAUGUAGACAAAUCUAAGACAAGAAUUUUGGGACAGAGGGAGUAUUAU
rfam:Triticum aestivum genome assembly, contig: Triticum_aestivum_CS42_TGACv1_scaffold_514106_6BS